rnacentral:rRNA from 1 species
CAAAAGCGUAUAUUAAAGUUGUUGCAGUUAAAAAGCUCGUAGUUGAACCUUGGGCUUGGCUGGCCGGUCCAUCUUUUUUGAUGCGUACUGGACCCAGCCGAGCCUUUCCUUCUGGCAAGCCUUUUGGCGAACCAGGACUUUUACUUUGAAAAAAUUAGAGUGUUCAAAGCAGGCCUUUGCUCGAAUAUAUUACCAUGGAAUAAUAGAAUAGGACGUUAUGGUUCUAUUUUGUUGGUUUCUAGGACCAUCGUAAUGAUUAAUAGGGACGGUCGGGGGUAUCAGUAUUCAGUUGUCAGAGGUGAAAUUCUUGGAUUUACUGAAGACUAACUACUGCGAAAGCAUUUACCAAGGACGUUUUCAUUAA